rnacentral:rRNA from 1 species
AUUGAACGCUGGCGGCAGGCCUAACACAUGCAAGUCGAACGAGUGGCGGACGGGUGAGUCAUGUCUGGGACACUGCCUGAUGGAGGGGGAUAACUACUGGAAACGGUAGCUAAUACCGCAUACCAUCGGAUGUGCCCAGAUGGGAUUAGCUCGUAGGUGGGGUAAAGGCUCACCAAGGCGACGAUCCCUAGCUGGUCUGAGAGGAUGACCAGCCACACUGGAACUGAGACACGGUCAAUACUCCGACGGGUGUCAGCAGUGGGGAAUAUUGCGAAAUGGGCGCAAUCCUGAUGGAGCCACGCCGCGUGUAUGAAGAAGGCCUUCGGGUUGUAAAGUACGUUCAGCGGGGAGGCGUUGUCCGCAGAAGAAGCACCGGCUAACUCCGUGCCAGCAGCCGCGGUAAUUC